UUGGGAAUCUUCGGCAAUGGGGGGAACCCUGACCGAGCAACGCCGCGUGAGUGAAGAAGGUAUUCGGAUCGUAAAGCUCUGUUGUUAAGGAAGAACGAGUGUGAGAAUGGAAAGUUCAUACUGUGACGGUACUUAACCAGAAAGGGACGGCUAACUACGUGCCAGCAGCCGCGGUAAUACGUAGGUCCCGAGCGUUGUCCGGAUUUAUUGGGCGUAAAGCGAGCGCAGGCGGUUAGAUAAGUCUGAAGUUAAAGGCAGUGGCUCAACCAUUGUAGGCUUUGGAAACUGUUUAACUUGAGUGCAGAAGGGGAAAGUGGAAUUCCAUGUGUAGCGGUGAAAUGCGUAGAUAUAGGGAGGAACACCGGUGGCGAAAGCGGCUCUCGGGUCUGUAACUGACGCGGAGGCUCGAAAGCGUGGGGAGCGAACAGG
rnacentral:rRNA from 1 species